rnacentral:rRNA from 1 species
AACGAACGCUGGCGGCAUGCCUAACACAUGCAAGUCGAACGAAGGCUUCGGCCUUAGUGGCGCACGGGUGCGUAACGCGUGGGAAUCCGCCCCUCGGUUCGGAAUAACAGUUAGAAAUGACUGCUAAUACCGGAUGAUGACUUCGGCCCAAAGAUUUAUCGCCGAGGGAUGAGCCCGCGUAAGAUUAGGUAGUUGGUGGGGUAAAGGCCUACCAAGCCGACGAUCUUUAGCUGGUCUGAGAGGAUGAUCAGCCACACUGGGACUGAGACACGGCCCAGACUCCUACGGGAGGCAGCAGUGGGGAAUAUUGGACAAUGGGCGAAAGCCUGAUCCAGCAAUGCCGCGUGAGUGAUGAAGGCCUUAGGGUUGUAAAGCUCUUUUACCAGGGAUGAUAAUGACAGUACCUGGAGAAUAAGCUCCGGCUAACUCCGUGCCAGCAGCCGCCGUAA